rnacentral:rRNA from 1 species
GGCGAACGGGUGAGUAACACGUGGGUAAUCUGCCCUGCACUCUGGGAUAAGCCUGGUAAACUGGGUCUAAUACUGGAUAUGACCUUUCUCCUUAUGGGGUUUGGUGGAAAGUUUUUCGGUGUAGGAUGAGCCCGCGGCCUAUCAGCUUGUUGGUGGGGUGAUGGCCUACCAAGGCGACGACGGGUAGCCGGCCUGAGAGGGUGAUCGGCCACAUUGGGACUGAGAUACGGCCCAG